GCCUGCCUUGUCAGUGCAGGUACUAAAAGUGUAACACUACAGAGAAGAUUAGCAUGGCCCCUGCACAAAGGGUGACAUGCAAACUGGUGGAAAACAGCCUGUAUCU